rnacentral:rRNA from 1 species
ACGGGAGGCAGCAGUGGGGAAUAUUGGGCAAUGGACGAAAGUCUGACCCAGCGACGCCGCGUGAGGGAAGAAGGUCUUCGGAUUGUAAACCUCUGUUGAUAGGGAAGAAGAAAGUGACGGUACCUAUCGAGGAAGCCACGGCUAACUACGUGCCAGCAGCCGCGGUAAUACGUAGGUGGCAAGCGUUAUCCGGAAUUACUGGGUGUAAAGGGUGUGUAGGCGGGACUGCAAGUCAGAUGUGAAAAUUAUUGGCUUAACCAAUAACUUGCAUUUGAAACUGUAGUUCUUGAGUGUCGGAGAGGUAAAUGGAAUUCCCAGUGUAGCGGUGAAAUGCGUAGAUAUUGGGAGGAACACCAGUGGCGAAGGCGAUUUACUGGACGACAACUGACGCUGAGACACGAAAGCGUGGGGAGCAAACAGGAUUAGAUACCCUGGUA